GAUGAACGCUGGCGGCGUGCCUAAUACAUGCAAGUCGAGCGAACGGACGAGAAGCUUGCUUCUCUGAUGUUAGCGGCGGACGGGUGAGUAACACGUGGAUAACCUACCUAUAAGACUGGGAUAACUUCGGGAAACCGGAGCUAAUACCGGAUAAUAUUUUGAACCGCAUGGUUCAAAAGUGAAAGACGGUCUUGCUGUCACUUAUAGAUGGAUCCGCGCUGCAUUAGCUAGUUGGUAAGGUAACGGCUUACCAAGGCAACGAUGCAUAGCCGACCUGAGAGGGUGAUCGGCCACACUGGAACUGAGACACGGUCCAGACUCCUACGGGAGGCAGCAGUAGGGAAUCUUCCGCAAUGGGCGAAAGCCUGACGGAGCAACGCCGCGUGAGUGAUGAAGGUCUUCGGAUCGUAAAACUCUGUUAUUAGGGAAGAACAUAUGUGUAAGUAACUGUGCACAUCUUGACGGUACCUAAUCAGAAAGCCACGGCUAACUACGUGCCAGCAGCCGCGGUAAUACGUAUGUGGCAAGCGUUAUCCGGAAUUAUUGGGCGUAAAGCGCGCGUAGGCGGUUUUUUAAGUCUGAUGUGAAAGCCCACGGCUCAACCGUGGAGGGUCAUUGGAAACUGGAAAACUUGAGUGCAGAAGAGGAAAGUGGAAUUCCAUGUGUAGCGGUGAAAUGCGCAGAGAUAUGGAGGAACACCAGUGGCGAAGGCGACUUUCUGGUCUGUAACUGACGCUGAUGUGCGAAAGCGUGGGGAUCAAACAGGAUUAGAUACCCUGGUAGUCCACGCCGUAAACGAUGAGUGCUAAGUGUUAGGGGGUUUCCGCCCCUUAGUGCUGCAGCUAACGCAUUAAGCACUCCGCCUGGGGAGUACGACCGCAAGGUUGAAACUCAAAGGAAUUGACGGGGACCCGCACAAGCGGUGGAGCAUGUGGUUUAAUUCGAAGCAACGCGAAGAACCUUACCAAAUCUUGACAUCCUUUGACAACUCUAGAGAUAGAGCUUUCCCCUUCGGGGGACAAAGUGACAGGUGGUGCAUGGUUGUCGUCAGCUCGUGUCGUGAGAUGUUGGGUUAAGUCCCGCAACGAGCGCAACCCUUAAGCUUAGUUGCCAUCAUUAAGUUGGGCACUCUAAGUUGACUGCCGGUGACAAACCGGAGGAAGGUGGGGAUGACGUCAAAUCAUCAUGCCCCUUAUGAUUUGGGCUACACACGUGCUACAAUGGACAAUACAAAGGGCAGCGAAACCGCGAGGUCAAGCAAAUCCCAUAAAGUUGUUCUCAGUUCGGAUUGUAGUCUGCAACUCGACUACAUGAAGCUGGAAUCGCUAGUAAUCGUAGAUCAGCAUGCUACGGUGAAUACGUUCCCGGGUCU
rnacentral:rRNA from 1 species